GAUGAACGCUAGCGGGAGGCUUAACACAUGCAAGUCGAGGGGCAGCAUAGGGUAGCAAUACUCUGAUGGCGACCGGCAAACGGGUGAGUAACGCGUAUGCAACCUACCCUGUACAGGGGGAUAACCCGGAGAAAUUCGGACUAAUAUCCCGUAAUAAUAUCCGGAGGCAUCUUUGGAUAUUUAAAGUUCCGACGGUACGGGAUGGGCAUGCGUAACAUUAACUGGUUGGUAAGGUAACGGCUUACCAAGGCUAUGAUGUUUAGGGGUCCUGAGAGGGUGGUCCCCCAACUGGUACUGAGACACGGACCAGACUCCUACGGGAGGCAGCAGUGAGGAAUAUUGGUCAAUGGGCGCAAGCCUGAACCAGCCAUCCCGCGUGCAGGAAGACGGCCCUAUGGGUUGUAAACUGCUUUUCCAGGGAGAGAAACUUACGCACGUGUUGCGUGACUGACGGUACCUGGGAAUAAGCAUCGGCUAACUCCGUG
rnacentral:rRNA from 1 species